CUCUUUUUCUUUUUUUUUUUUUUUUUUUUUUUUUUGCAAAAAAGAAAAAAAAAAGAAAGGGAUUUAAAACAAACAAACAAACAAACAAAUCCAUCCUGGAAAAAAGGAGGGAGAUGUUCCUGUGUGUGUGUGUGUGUGUGUUGUCAACCUACCCUGGACUCGCUGCUCGUCCUGCCAGCAGGAACGGGAUGGGACGGGACCGGAGGAGCUGCUGUGGGGUUGGUGACUGGAGGAGGAGGAGGAGGUGCUGUGGGAAACAGACUGCUGGGACCUCCUGAGCCUUGGCCACGCACAGAAGAUGGCUACGGAGGACUUUUUUUUUAUCCCCCAUCUUGUGGACCUAAGGAUUUUGAUAGUGAUUGACGGACUUUGGUUUCGUGGUUCAGAGGUGGUUGGAUCCAGCACUGCAGUGGGACAGUGUCACUGGAGAGGGGUUGUCACCAGUUUCUCCCCCCACCACCCCCUGGGUGAAGCUCCAGGGGUCUCUGGGAGCCCCGUCCCCUCCAGCCGCGGCGUGUCCGGUGCCACCAGCCCUGCCCUGUCCUGUACAUAACCCGUGAGGUGUCUGUAAAAGAUUUCCCCCCCCUUGUAAUUAUUAUUUUAUUAUUUUAUUAUUAUUUUGUUUGGCCCUUCUCCCCCCGAUUUGUUGAUUGUGUUGAACUUGUCAGAGUUUGUAACAGUAACUUUCAGAAAAUAUUGUACUACAGAGAAAAUUGCACUCAAUAAAAAGGAUGAAAAUAA